UGGGGGUAAAGUUCAUAAUUCUGUCUGCAUUUUGUUUAAUGAUAUAAUGCUAAGAGGAUUAUACAUUUGACUGAUAACUGAUUUUUUGCUUUGUCCCUAGACUGCUUCCCUUCUGUAAGCAAUGCAAUUGGGAAUAUCUCAAGUGCACAGAAGCUACAGUAUGAAAGUGCAUCAUGCUUUAUGGAUGCCAUGUAUUUUCAUGAAAAGGCUUUAUCAGUUUGCCUUGGCUGUCUUCUUGUGUUAAUUACAGCAAGAAGUGUGUUCGCUUGGGAUAUUUGGCGAAUUACCUUCAAAAGAAAGGACGUCUAUAGCCUUCUAAAGCUCUGAGAUUUGCUCUUGAUAUUGCUUGGUCAAGUAUGGUUACCUGAUUUGGCAAUUCUGCUUCUAUCCUUGUGCUUCUCUGUUGGAAUGUAACUCUUUAGAGAUGGUUCUGGACCAUGAUGAGAAGAUUGAGCUUCUGGUAGACAAAAUAGAGAACCUCCGCUCACAGGUGGUGAACCUCAAUAUCAUUGAGGGCCUGAACCUGCUGAAGGACUCCGAAAUACUGGUGCUGAUGCCUUUUACUGCUACACAGCUCACCAAAGAUCGAUAGAAGAAACCGGUCCCUUGGAAACAAUGGCAAUCAUUGGCAACAAGGAGAUCAUUGACAUUAACCAAGGUAUG